rnacentral:tRNA from 1 species
GGGCCCAUAGCUCAGUUGGUUAGAGCAGUCGGCUCAUAACCGAAAGGUCCCAGGUUCAAAUCCUGGUGGGCCCACCA